rnacentral:antisense_RNA from 1 species
CUUGAUGGUGGCUGUGUGCUUGGCACCUUCGGGUGCGCCGGGUUUUGGGGAUGUCUACCGGUCUGCUAACUCGCACACAGCCGCCACCCCC